GACCAGACUCCUACGGGAGGCAGCAGUGGGGAAUAUUGCACAAUGGGGGAAACCCUGAUGCAGCGACGCCGCGUGAGCGAUGAAGUAUUUCGGUAUGUAAAGCUCUAUCAGCAGGGAAGAAAAUGACGGUACCUGACUAAGAAGCCCCGGCUAACUACGUGCCAGCAGCCGCGGUAAUACGUAGGGGGCAAGCGUUAUCCGGAUUUACUGGGUGUAAAGGGAGCGUAGACGGCUGUGCAAGCCAGAUGUGAAAGCCCGGGGCUCAACCCCGGGACUGCAUUUGGAACUGUGUGGCUGGAGUGUCGGAGAGGCAGGCGGAAUUCCUAGUGUAGCGGUGAAAUGCGUAGAUAUUAGGAGGAACACCAGUGGCGAAGGCGGCCUGCUGGACGAUGACUGACGUUGAGGCUCGAAAGCGUGGGGAGCAAACAGGAUUAGAUACCCCUGUAC
rnacentral:rRNA from 1 species